CUUGAAACUGCUCCAAUGUUGACGUUCUUUUGACUUCAACCGUUUACGCAAUUUAUGGGAUUCCAGCGGAUUCUGAUGCGCUGAUUUGCAACACUUUACUUUAAGAUUCUUUUAGUGGUUUUUAAAUGUUUUAAUGGUCUUGGGCCUUCUUAUCUCAAGGAUCUUCUUUUAAAUUUUGAGCCCUGGCGGUCCCUCAGGUCCUCUGGCGCCAGGCUUUUAGUCGUCCCUAAGAUGAGGACCAAAACCUACUGUGAGGGUUUGUUCCGCCAUUGUGGUCUUUGCCUUUGGAACAGCCUGGUAGAGAAGCUCAGGGCCUCAAAAGCCAUAGAUGAUAAGACGAAGAGGUUUACAACCAGCAUUUUGAACAUUCCUUUAGGUUAUUUUACAUAAAAGUGAUUUUAUUGUUAUUUUUCAAUUUUUUUUCUUUUUUUAAAGAACCUACUUUCAUUUAUAUAAUUUAAAAUACAUGCCAUGUAUCUAUUUUUAACCUUCAUUUUAUAGUGAUUUUAUUUCCUGUUUUGUACCACAGCUUGCCGGUUUGGUCAGUGGUUGUUGCCACGCUACUCGCCCUUUGCCAGGGCGGCUGGGGUCCAGCAUCGCCGCCUCAUAACUGUGGAGUGGGGCCUGUUGCCGUCUGGUGUAGGCGGUCGCUGUGGCGAUGUUCUGCAGCUGAGCUGGCUCCUGAUGUAUCUCACAAUAGGAGGAUAAUCAAAACCUUCCCGAAGUUUUGGGGACGCUUCAGGUUCAUGGAUGGUUUCAUGUUUUUCAUUGCUAUUUCCUCUAAAAAUCAAGAAAACCCCACAGCUAAGCAUGCAUGAGGAAGGCUUGAAUCUGGUUUCCUGUCUCCUUUGUUUGUCUUUAUGGUCAAAAAUUAUAAUCUUAUUGAACAGAAGCUGUCUUUCAUCAGAUUUUUUUUUUUUAGAAAUCCGAGAAACAAAUGUUAUAUUUCAUAAUGUAUCCAGCAGUUAACCCCAUCAAGUACCUAAAUCAGAGAUUAAUACCUAUAUACAUAAUAAAAUCCAGCAUGGAUGCAACAUAUAUGAGCACAAACAACAGGAAUGAAUUGAAAUCCCUUUAAUUCCACAUGUUUUGCACAUGUACUCAUUCAUGCUGCACAUGUGCUUACUCAGUUGAUCCUGCAGGAAGAGCUUGAAGCGUUCAUGCUUUACGACUAACUGUUGUCCCGCUCUUCUACAUGUACACACGAACACGCGUGCGCACAAACACACUCUGAACUUGACUCCUUUCCUCUUGCAACAGCUGCUACAAAACGAAAGCAUCAAGUUGACCUAAAGGACAGUUACAUUUUUGAGUUCCUUUAUGAAUAAAAAAAAAAA